rnacentral:rRNA from 1 species
CCUACGGGCGGCAGCAGUGGGGGAUAUUGCACAAUGGGGGAAACCCUGAUGCAGCGACGCCGCGUGGGUGAAGAAGUAUUUCGGUAUGUAAAGCCCUAUCAGCAGGGAAGAAAGAAGACGGUACCUGACUAAGAAGCCCCGGCUAACUACGUGCCAGCAGCCGCGGUAAUACGUAGGGGGCGAGCGUUAUCCGGAUUCACUGGGUGUAAAGGGAGCGUAGACGGCCGUGCAAGCCAGGAGUGAAAGCCCGGGGCCCAACCCCGGGACUGCUCUUGGAACUGUGCGGCUGGAGUGCGGGGGGGGCAGGCGGAAUUCCUGGUGUAGCGGUGAAAUGCGUAGAUAUCAGGAGGAACACCGGCGGCGAAGGCGGCCUGCUGGACCGCGACUGACGUUGAGGCUCGAAAGCGUGGGGAGCGAACAGGAUUAGAUACCCCAGUAGUC